CGUAAGCUCCUCAGGGGUUUGACAAGCUUGCUGUCCUUCCCACUUCCCCUGUUCUCACACUUCUUGGCAACACAGGCACUGUCUCUUAGCGACAGGGUUUUGGGGGAGCCAUGGCCCCCACCAUGCUGCCUGUGGGAUGCAUGCACAGCACCCUCCCCCAGCAGAGUCACCAAGCCUCAGGCAGCAGCAGACAGGGGUACGCCGGCCCGAGUUCAUGGCUGGACAGCCAUUCUCUCUGUGCCUGUCCAGACCUCAGGGUGAAGCUAUCUGAUCCAUGCCAUGCUUCCUGAACGCCUGAGAAUGGACCAGCUGGCCGGGCUGCCUACAGAGAGCACAGCUGCUGUUAGCAUCGCCUCGGGUCCAGUACACCCACAUCGCUACAAGCGUGCAGGAUCAGACAGUGAUCGUUUCUGCCUAGGUGUAUUCGAGCAAAGAGGAACUGAAGGAGGAGAAGGAACAAGGAGGCUCCGGGUCAGGAGCAGCAGCAGCACUGAGCUAGGUGGACUGGGUGCUACGUAGGCCUCGGGUUGGCCGUUUCACAAUACACUAACUCUCCCUCGCUUUAGUCAGUGGUGGUGCCUACAUCCAGACGAAAUGAAGGGGGCUAACGAAGGUCAGGCAGAAGGGGGCAUAUUCAUACUCCUGAUUUACAUCCUCAUCCGCGUCUCUGAGGAGGCUGUGUUCUGCUUUCGGGAAGUGAUUCCCGGUAUACUUGUAAUAUCCCAGAGAAUAUACCUAGCUAUGGGCCACCGUGACCUCCUGUACUCCAUUUCGGCCCCCAGAUUUCUAUGGCAAAGACCAGUCAGACCCUAAAUAGCAUGGCUGCAAUAGUUAAAGAUUUAUCCCUUGUAA